rnacentral:rRNA from 1 species
CACGGGGGUUGCGAGCGUUGUCCGGAAUUACUGGGCGUAAAGCGUGCGCAGGCGGUGAUGUAAGACAGAUGUGAAAUCCCCGGGCUCAACCUGGGAACUGCAUUUGUGACUGCAUUGCUGGAGUGCGGCAGAGGGGGAUGGAAUUCCGCGUGUAGCAGUGAAAUGCGUAGAUAUGCGGAGGAACACCGAUGGCGAAGGCAAUCCCCUGGGCCUGCACUGACGCUCAUGCACGAAAGCGUGGGGAGCAAACAGGAUUAGAUACCCUGGUAGUCCACGCCCUAAACGAUGUCAACUGGUUGUUGGGAAUUUACUUUCUCAGUAACGAAGCUAACGCGUGAAGUUGACCGCCUGGGGAGUACGGCCGCAAGGUUAAA